rnacentral:rRNA from 1 species
AUGAACGCUGGCGGCGUGCCUAAUACAUGCAAGUCGAGCGAACAGACGAGGAGCUUGCUCCUCUGACGUUAUCGGCGGACGGGUGAGUAACACGUGGAUAACCUACCUAUAAGACUGGGAUAACUUCGGGAAACCGGAGCUAAUACCGGAUAAUAUAUUGAACCGCAUGGUUCAAUAGUGAAAGACGGUUUUGCUGUCACUUAUAGAUGGAUCCGCGCCGCAUUAGCUAGUUGGUAAGGUAACGGCUUACUAAGGCAACGAUGCGUAGCCGACCUGAUAGGGGGAUCGGCCACACUGGAACUGAGACACGGUCCAGACUCCUACGGGAGGCAGCAGUAGGGAAUCUUCCGCAAUGGGCGAAAGCCUGACGGAGCAACGCCGCGUGAGUGAUGAAGGUCUUCGGAUCGUAAAACUCUGUUAUUAGGGAAGAACAAAUGUGUAAGUAACUAUGCACGUCUUGACGGUACCUAAUCAGAAAGCCACGGCUAACUACGUG